rnacentral:rRNA from 1 species
ACAAACAGAUCAAAUUAAGAUUAAUAAUAGUAAAAAAGGAGGUUAUAUAGAUUAUUUCGAAAAAUAAUGCUUUUUAGGGAGGUGGAAUUUAGAUAAAAAGAGGUAAUUUAGAUUUUUCUUUUUUUGAGGCCUCGAAAUUUUGUUAUGAGACCGGGAUUAGAUACCCCGUUAUUCAAAAUGUAAACUUUGAUUGUAUUUAUGAUUUACUUGAGUAUUACGAGUAUAUAAAGGGCUAUCUCCUUACUAUAUUGCUUAAAACUCAAAGAACUUGGCGGUGCCUUAUAUCCUUUCAGGGGAACCUGUCCUGUAAUCGAUAGUCCACGAUUUAACUUACUUUUUUUUGAAUUUUGUCAGCUUGUAUACCGUCGUCGUCAGGUUACCUUUAAGAGGUAUGAAGUUAUCGGUGAGAAUAGGAAGAAGAAUUAGAUUUUGUUAUUAUAUAUAAGUUGAGGUUGAUUCUUGUAACGGUUCUAGACGUCAGAUCAAGGUGCAGCCUAUAAAGAAGUAGAGAUGGGUUACAAUAAUGAGUUAUUAUAUGGAUUUUUGUUGUAAGUAGCAGAAUUGAAGGAGGACUUGGAAGUAAUUAGUUUAAAGAUGAGAGAGCUUAAAUGAAAAUAGGCUCUGAGGUGCGC